UCUAGGAGAGAUUUUAAUAAGUGCAUAAUCUCUGACUUAGAGGCAUUAUUUUGUGUUUUAAUUUUGGGUAAUUUGUACAAUUAAUAUUGAAAUCAUGAUGUCAAAUCGUGUUAAGAAGAUGUUUGAUAAUUUGUAGAAAAAAACCAGAGACAGGCAGCGGCAGUGUGACAACGGACGAGCGCAAGGAGAGAGGACAGACGAGGCGAAAAAACACCCCAAAAAAAAUAACCCCAAGAUGCGUGCAUCGGCCUAGGCUAUUAAAAAAUAUACGUAUGUAUGUUACGGAAAAAGAAAGAAUAAAACUAAAAACGGGAUUUUAAAAUAUAAUCUCCGAACAUUCCACUGAAAAUUAGCAUAUUAUAUACACAUGUAUAUCUUCUGUUACAUGUUACUAUUUCUUGUAUUAUGUUAUUAUACGCAUUAUCACAUUUUAUAUAUCACCCUACUUGAAUUAAUUGCCAAUUAUUUGUUCCAUAAGUAGUUUAGAUUUUAUUUGACCAGAGAAAGCUCCCAAGGGCAUUUGCUUUAUGUCAUUGUUUAAGCCAUUCCACAUUUGAACAGCUACAUACUUAAAAGAAGCACUAACCUGAAAAAAAAAUUACAUUCGGUGCACUGCCCUUGCCAAUGGAAAUCGCUAUAAGGUAAACAAAAUUCUAAAAGUCUGUUAUGUAUUUUAAAUAUUUUUAGACUGAAAAGUUAUCACUAGAUUUUAUAGACGGCAUUGAUACUGAAAUAGCAUUAGCAAAGAAUGAUACAUCAGACCAAAUAGAACAGGACUGUAAUACUUCUUUCAAUUCUAUAAACCACGAAUCUUCAUUUUUUGUGAAACCACAAGAGUUAAUUCCACAAGUUUUCACAACAGAAAUUAUGGUGGAUUCAUCUGAUACAGCCAAUAAUUUUCAGUUUAUUGAUUUAAAUGAAGCUACUAUAAUGUCAGCUCCUGUUGUUAUAUCAAAGGCUGAAUAUGAACCUACAAAUUUUAAUAUACAAAGCAAACAAUGUGCUGCAUUUUCACCACUAAUAUGCAAUUACGGUGAUGAUGGGUUAAUUCCAGUCAGUGACCCCGUCCAUCUCAUUGCUGAUCAUGAAGAAAUUAAUCCCCAAAUACCUUUGAAAGAUAAGGAUGCCUUAGUUAAAGAUCCUGAUUAUAAUCCAGAGGAAGAGUUUGAAUCAGAUGAUAGUUUGGAACAAGAACAUACUCUUUUAAAUAAUAAUGAUAGAGGGGAUGGAAAUUCUAGAAAGAAAAAAGCGAAAGAAAAAUCUAGAAAGAGAAAGCGAAGUAAAGAAAAUUGGCCCCGCUUCAUAAGAAAGCAAAAACGAAAUUUAGGUGAAAGCUACUUAACAUCUAAAAAAAAAGAAGUCCCAUCACGUUCCCUACAAACUCCAUGUACUGAAAAAUGUAAACAAAAAUGCAUUACAAAAAUAUCGGAAAUUUUAAGAAAGGAAAUUCUUACAUCCUUUUAGGAGUUGGGCGACCUAACUCGACAAAGGCAAUUUAUUUGCGCUAAUACAGAUCCAAUUAAACCUAAAUACCAGUACUUAAUGGAAAAUUGUUAAAGAAAGAACUGCACACAAGCCUAUUAUUUUGACAUCAACAAUGAAAAAAUUCGAGUUUGCAAGAAGUUUUUUAUGAGCACUUUAAACAUUGGUGAUAUUACCAUUCGAACGGCUCUUAAAAAAACCAGUGAUAAAAAAAUUGUUAGCAGUGAUCUACGUAGUAAACACGGGAAUCAUAAAAAACUGGACCCUGCAUUAAAAGCCGGCGUAAGAAAACAUAUUGGAUCAUUGCCCACAGUAGAAUCUCAUUAUUUGCGACAACAAACAACAAGAACCUUUAUAAAAGGAAGUCUAACACUUGCGACGCUAUACCGUGACUAUAAACGUGAAUGUCCUCAAACAAACCUUUUGUCAAGCCGUGCAUUUAUGAACAAAUCUUUAACUUUGAAGAAUACAAUAUUGGAUGGCACCAACCAAAAAAAGACUAAUGCAGUACCUGCGAAAGGUAUGUCAAUUAUUCUUCUGAAGAAAAAGUUCAGCUUCAAAGUGAAUACGACAAACACGUUGAUGACAAAAAUAAAGCUCGACAAGAAAAAGAGAUUGAUGUGUCAAAUGCCUUAGAAGAUUCAACUAAAGUUGUAGCUGUCUUUGAUUUACAGUCCGUCCUCGUAAUAAAAGUCUCAGACUUUUAUUACAAAAGUAAAUUUGCGACAUACAAUUUCACAAUUUUUAAUAUUGGUAGCAAAGAGGGUUCAUGCUACGUUUGGUCAGAGAAUAUUGCAAAGCACGGUACAAAUGAAAUUGGAAGUCGUAUUCUGCAAUUCCUAGAAAGAAACUGCCAAGAAAAACAUGUUACUUUUUAUUCUGACAACUGCGCCGGGCAGAAUAAAAAUAAAUACAUUGCUAGUUUGUAUUUAUAUGCAACCACUUUCCUCGAAAUUCAAUCAAUAACGCAUAAAUUUUUGGUAAAAGGUCAUACACAAAAUGAAGGCGAUAGUAUGCACUUAUGCAUUGAAAAAGAAAAAAAAACGUUUGUUAAAAGGUGGACCUGUUUUUAUCCCUUCUCAGUGGAUUCUUGUGAUUCAAGGUGCAAAAAAAAGGGGAAAACCCUAUUAUGUAAAAGAAAUGGAUCAAUCUGAAAUGUUUGAUCUUCAAAAAUUAUCUACUGAUAUAGGUUUAAAUUUUAGCACUGAUAAAAUAAAGGUCAAUUGGACCGAUAUAAAGGUAAUUAUGACAAAUAAGGGUAAGCCUGAUAGUUUGUUCUUUAAAUACGAAUAUGGAGAUGAUGUUCCGUACAGCGACAUACAAGUUCGAAAUAACGUUUCUUUAAGAUCAAGCAAACGAAAAACUAAAAUUGACAGAAAAUUUAGUGGCAAAUUGUCGCCAGCUUAUUCCGAAGAACUAAAAAUUUCCAAACAAAAAAAAGAUGGACUUUUAACGCUUUGCCAAAAAAA